rnacentral:miRNA from 1 species
AAUCGCUAGUAAUCGCCGGUCC